rnacentral:rRNA from 1 species
UGGGGAAUUUUGGACAAUGGGGGAAACCCUGAUCCAGCCAUCCCGCGUGUGCGAUGAAGGCCUUCGGGUUGUAAAGCACUUUUGGCAGGAAAGAAACGUCAUGGGUUAAUACCCCGUGAAACUGACGGUACCUGCAGAAUAAGCACCGGCUAACUACGUGCCAGCAGCCGCGGUAAUACGUAGGGUGCAAGCGUUAAUCGGAAUUACUGGGCGUAAAGCGUGCGCAGGCGGUUCGGAAAGAAAGAUGUGAAAUCCCAGAGCUCAACUUUGGAACUGCAUUUUUAACUGCCGGGCUAGAGUGUGUCAGAGGGAGGUGGAAUUCCGCGUGUAGCAGUGAAAUGCGUAGAUUUGCGGAGGAACACCGAUGGCGAAGGCAGCCUCCUGGGAUAACACUGACGCUCAUGCACGAAAGCGUGGGGAGCAAACAGG